rnacentral:misc_RNA from 1 species
AACGCACCUUGCACCCUAUGGUAUUCCGUAGGGUAUGCCCGUUUGAGUGUUAUUAAAUCAUCAAACUCGAUUACAUUUUUGUGUGUGAUUUCGAGUCUUGGUCAUGAGGGUUUUUGCGGGCUUUCAUUAGUCGGCUCCCUUUAAAUGCAUUAGCGAGAAUUCCCUUUGUUUUGAACGCAACUGUGUGUCUCUGGCGUGAUAAUUAUCUGCGUCAAAUUUGGGGCAUAUAUGCGCGCGUUCUCGUUGGGCUUGCUUCUAAUCGUCUCUACAUCUUUGAGACAACUGGAUUAGAGUGUGCAUAUAUGCGCUUUUUUCUGAACCAUUUAACCUCAAAUCGGGUAGGAUUACCCGCUGAACUUAA